UGGGGAAUAUUGGACAAUGGGGGCAACCCUGAUCCAGCCACGCCGCGUGAGUGAUGAAGGCCUUCGGGUCGUAAAGCUCUGUGGGGAGGGACGAACGUCCCGGCGAAGAGCCGGGGGUGACGGUACCUCCUUAGCAAGCACCGGCUAACUUCGUGCCAGCAGCCGCGGUAAUACGAAGGGUGCAAACGUUGCUCGGAAUCAUUGGGCGUAAAGCGCACGUAGGCGGCCUCAUAAGUCGGACGUGAAAUCCCUCGGCUCAACCGAGGAAGUGCAUCCGAAACUGCGAGGCUCGAGUAUGGAAGAGGGUCGCAGAAUUCCCGGUGUAGAGGUGAAAUUCGUAGAUAUCGGGAGGAAUACCAGUGGCGAAGGCGGCGACCUGGGCCAAUACUGACGCUGAGGUGCGAAAGCGUGGGGAGCAAACAG
rnacentral:rRNA from 1 species